GACGAACGCUGGCGGCGUGCUUAACACAUGCAAGUCGAACGGAAAGGCCCUGCUUUUGUGGGUUGCUCGAGUGGCGAACGGGUGAGUAACACGUGAGUAACCUGCCCUUGACUUUGGGAUAACUUCAGGAAACUGGGGCUAAUACCGGAUAGGAGCUCCUGCUGCAUGGUGGGGGUUGGAAAGUUUCGGCGGUUGGGGAUGGACUCGCGGCUUAUCCGCUUGUUGGUGGGGUAGUGGCUUACCAAGGCUUUGACGGGUAGCCGGCCUGAGAGGGUGACCGGCCACAUUGGGACUGAGAUACGGCCCAGACUCCUACGGGAGGCAGCAGUGGGGAAUAUUGCACAGUGGGCGGAAGCCUGAUGCAGCAACGCCGCGUGCGGGAUGACGGCCUUCGGGUUGUAAACCGCUUUCGCCUGUGACGAAGAGUGAGUGACGGUAAUGGGUAAAGAAGCACCGGCUAACUACGUG
rnacentral:rRNA from 1 species